rnacentral:rRNA from 1 species
UACGUAGGGGGCUAGCGUUGUCCGGAUUUAUUGGGCGUAAAGAGCGUGUAGGCGGCCAGGUAGGUCUGCUGUGAAAACUCGAGGCUCAACCUCGGGACGUCGGCGGAAACCAUCUGGCUAGAGUCCGGAAGAGGAGAGUGGAAUUCCCGGUGUAGCGGUGAAAUGCGCAGAUAUCGGGAAGAACACCCGUGGCGAAGGCGGCUCUCUGGGACGGUACUGACGCUGAGACGCGAAAGCGUGGGGAGCGAACAGG